rfam:Eutrema salsugineum unplaced genomic scaffold scaffold_11, whole genome shotgun sequence.
AAGUCAUGAUGUGGACAAUGCACACUUUAGCUUUUGAACCACUCUCAUUCCUUAGAAAAUGACUCAUGGUUCUUUUGUGUGAAACUUGAAAUCUCAUUCCUCAGUCU